UACGGGGGGAGCAAGCGUUGUUCGGAUUUACUGGGCGUAAAGGGCGCGUAGGCGGCGUGACAAGUCACUUGUGAAAUCUCCGGGCUUAACUCGGACGGUCAAGUGAUACUGUCGUGCUAGAGUACAGAAGGGGCAACUGGAAUUCUCGGUGUAGCGGUGAAAUGCGUAGAUAUCGAGAGGAACACCUGCGGCGAAGGCGGGUUGCUGGGCUGACACUGACGCUGAGGCGCGAAAGCUAGGGGAGCGAACGGG
rnacentral:rRNA from 1 species